AGAGUUUGAUCCUGGCUCAGAUUGAACGCUGGCGGCAUGCUUUACACAUGCAAGUCGAACGGGGUUAAGGGGCUUGCUCCUUAAUCUAGUGGCGAACGGGUGAGUAAUGCAUCGGAACGUACCCGGGAGUGGGGGAUAACGCACCGAAAGGUGUGCUAAUACCGCAUAUUCUGUGAGCAGGAAAGCAGGGGACCUUAGGGCCUUGUGCUUCCGGAGCGGCCGAUGUCGGAUUAGCUAGUUGGUGAGGUAAAGGCUCACCAAGGCGACGAUCCGUAGCGGGUCUGAGAGGAUGAUCCGCCACACUGGGACUGAGACACGGCCCAGACUCCUACGGGAGGCAGCAGUGGGGAAUUUUGGACAAUGGGCGCAAGCCUGAUCCAGCCAUGCCGCGUGUCUGAAGAAGGCCU
rnacentral:rRNA from 1 species